ACCGUAUUUUGGCUGAAAAUCGGCCGAUACCGAUACACUGCCGAUCGAUCGUUCCAUCUCUAGUUAUUUGGUUUAUGUGUGUGUUCCAAGAAUGAGGGCCCCUUGUUUAUAUUUUGCCUAGGGCCCCAAAAUGGCUAGAUCCGCCCCUGGUAAAAGGUUUCAUGUGCCACUGGCUGCAACACAACUUAAAGUAUGAUCCAUCCACCCCCAUGUUUAACAGUUGGAGAGGUGUUCUUUCAAAGAAAUUUUGCAGCUUUUUCCCCUUAAACACAUUGCUCAAUGCUCAUUGUGGACAAAAAGAUCUAACAGUAAAACCAACGCACAUAAAAAAAAAAGACCACAAUGCAUAAAAGGGUCGAACCACUUGAACAGUAAUCAUGUUAUACGAGCACAUAGUUGUAGGUACAAACCUCUGUCUAAGACUGUGGCAAAUAGUUUUUGUCUGUUUUUUUUUUUAAGCGUAAACAGUUCCUUGCCUGGAUAUGUCUUGUAAUAUACAACAAAUCCCUUCUGAAUAUGUUUUAAAUAAGUAUUCUGCUGUUGGUUCAAGUAUAGAAAACUCAUUUUGUAAGACUGAAGCCUAGAGUGCCUUAUUUUGAGAGUAUUACCCAGCUAUGACCCUGAGGAAAAGACAGAUACUAGUUUCUGUGAAAUGUCUGGAGUUUCGUUUCUCAUUGACUUUGAUCUUUGAAGCUCACAAGCAUCAGUCAGACGGCCAGAGAUGUUCCAGAUAACUCAGACGCAUAGUGAAACCACAGCAGAACCCGUCUCAACUGUUCACCCACUUCAGAGAGUCAGACCAGAUUCUGGACCUCAAGAAGAAGAAACCUAUGAAUCUCUGUCAGGAGGUAUUAGCGACGUCUACAACAACCUGGACAUUGCUGCUAGACAACAAGAGUUGAAUGAAGAAAUCAGAAGAUGUUUCAGAAGGACUGAACUGAAUACUGAUGAAGAUACAGAUUACUGAAGAAGAAACAAGAGAACAGGCUGAUGAUUUGUACAGUAUACGGUAUUACUCAUAAACAGGACAGAAGAGGAACAAGAGGUUCAAGCAGUUUUAUUGUCCCAACCCAAACCACUACAAGUGGAAUCCAGUUUGGUACAUCAGUGCAAAGAAAAAAAAAUACUAUCAUCAACUUAAUUUCAAUAACGAUUAAAAAAUACAGCAAAAAAAACAAGAAAAACUCAAUUAUACAUGACAUCCUAUUUCUUUGCUAAAUAACUGCAAAUAUAUAAGAGGGAGAUUUCUUUACAGAGAGUAUAAAGAGCUACAUGACCAGUUUAUGACAGUAUCUCUGAAAAAUUCUCUUCACAAGGCUUCUCAAUCAACGAAGGUCUUACAUGCUGGAAGUGUUUUUCCUUUGUUUUCCACUGGCGUCUUAGCUUUAAGGAGACCUGAGUUGGUUUGAUAAGAUAACACAAGACUUCUUCUUUUUUUUUUUAAGGGAAAGGAGCAGUUGCAUAUAUUAGUUGUAGCAUCACAUGACUUCUCCAUAGUGCCAUUCCAGUGUGGGCGUACAAGUGGCCGAGUGACAUCUCAAAUCGACAUGCGCGAAAAAGGUCAAGUGCUCUCAAAAAGCCAUUUGUUUUUAAAUACAUUCAGUUUGUGGAGGUGAAAAGGUCAAGGUUUCUUUGCCAUAGCACAGUACAGUAGUUCAAUCUUUAAUGCUUUCGUUUUUUGGUGUUUUUUAAAUAUGAUUGUUGUGUCUAUCACAGCUGCAGUCGUUUUUAAUAAAGGCUUCAACUCAUGCCA
ensembl:lncRNA